AUGUUCUCUGCACACGUGACGCUCUGUCCUCUUGUUCCUCCUGCCCCAGAGCCCCUGCCCCUUCCCCAGAUCUGGGCCAAGGAUCGGUUCAUUACCCCAGGCUGGUGCAAUGUCACCGUGAAGUGUGACACCAUGGGAACCAGGGAGGACCUGACCCUGUCCUGGGAGAGGAAGAGACUCCCCAGGGAACUGGAACAACGAGUGGCCCCAGGACCAGCUCCCAACCCUUGGACCCUGGCUCUGAGCCUGCCUCUCAGCCAGCCCAGGACCAGCCUCACCUGUGUGCUCAGCAACCAAGAGGACCAGAAAACUGUCACCUUGGACCUUGGGGACAUCUGUGGCCACGCAGAUCCACAGGGACAGGCUGAUGCCUCCCAACUACCCAGCAUCCUGGGGACUGUUGUGGUCCUGCUGCUGAUCCUGGGAGCUGGACUGUUCCUCUGGAGGACACGAGUGAAGAAGAGCCUGGAGCCUGGGAGAGGCAGGUUGCACUUCUCCUCCCUGGGCCCACACACCUCCCUCCCCUGGACCCUGGGCUCCCUUCCUCCUGCCUUACUGCUCAGGGGAUGUCCCUGCAGGAGGCUGGUGGGGGCGGCCAUGGCCUUGGGGUCAUGGAGGGGAGGGUACAGGUUUCCAGGGCUCAGACUUCAGCUCCCUCUGUGUAUGACCCAGGUGCAGGGUCGCAGGAGGAGCAUAGGGAUCCCGAUAGUGGCAUCUACUAUGCAGAGCUGAGCCAGCAGGGGUCUGGAGACAGCAGGGACAAGGGUAGAGGUGCAGCACAUCUGGAAGGGAACAAGCCUCUCACUACUGUCUACAGUGAGGUCCGCAGGGCAGGCGUGGCCCUGAUGAGGAUUUAAUUGGAAGAAGCCGGAGAAUCCCGCCCUCCGGGGACAGCUGUCUUGGGAGCAUGAUGCCUGCAGCUCUGGUCUCACCUCUUCCUCCUCUGACUCCUCUGGUGAGGGACUGGCUGGUCCAAGCAUCAGUUAGUGUCUAUGCUAAGUGGUUCUGCACACGUUUGCGAUUAGACAUCUGUAGGUCUUUCAAGAGGGGAAACUGAGUAAAUAAAUUGACAGAAACAUGUGUCA
rnacentral:lncRNA from 12 species